AGAGUUUGAUCCUGGCUCAGAACGAACGCUGGCGGCGCGUUUUAAGCAUGCAAGUCGAACGGUAAUAGAGUGCUUGCACUCUAUGAGAGUGGCGAACGGGUGAGUAACACGUAGAUGAUCUAUCCUUGGGACCGGGAUAGCCUGUGGAAACACAGGGUAAUACCGGAUACGACCUUACCGGUGAAGUGGUAAGGGGAAAGUCGCUUCGGCGACGUCCAUGGCUGAGUCUGCGGCUCAUUAGCUUGUUGGUAGGGUAAUGGCCUACCAAGGCGACGAUGAGUAGCCGGCCUGAGAGGGUGAUCGGCCACACUGGGACUGAGACACGGCCCAGACUCCUACGGGAGGCAGCAGCUAAGAAUCUUCCGCAAUGGGGGCAACCCUGACGGAGCGACGCCGCGUGAAUGAAGAAGGCCGGAAGGUUGUAAAGUUCUUUUCCUGGGGGAGAAUAAUGAUUGGAGGUAAUGCCAGUCAGAUGACGUGAACCAGGGAAUAAGCCCCGGCUAAUUACGUGCCAGCAGCCGCGGUAACACGUAAGGGGCAAGCGUUGUUCGGAUUUAUUGGGCGUAAAGGGCGUGUAGGCGGUUAAGUGUGUCUGGUGUGAAAGACUCCGGCUCAACCGGAGGACCGCGCUGGAAACUGCUUAACUAGAGUGAUGGAGGGGGAGCUGGAAUUCCUGGUGUAGGGGUGAAAUCUGUAGAGAUCAGGAAGAACACCGGAGGCGAAGGCGAGCUCCUGGCCAUAUACUGACGCUGAGGCGCGAAAGCGUGGGGAGCGAACAGGAUUAGAUACCCUGGUAGUCCACGCUGUAAACGAUGUGCACUAGGUGUUGGUCCGUUGAGGAUCAGUGCCGUAGCUAACGCGUUAAGUGCACCGCCUGGGGAGUAUGCUCGCAAGGGUGAAACUCAAAGGAAUUGACGGGGGCCCGCACAAGCGGUGGAGCAUGUGGUUUAAUUCGACGAUACGCGAGAAACCUUACCAGGGCUUGACAUAAGCAUGACGGUUGUAGAGAUACAGCUUCCCUUCGGGGCGUGUUUACAGGUGCUGCAUGGCUGUCGUCAGCUCGUGCUGUGAAGUGUUGGGUUAAGUCCCGCAACGAGCGCAACCCUUUCUGUCUGUUGCCAACAGGUAAUGCUGGGGACUCAGACGGUACUGCCGGUGACAAACCGGAGGAAGGUGGGGACGACGUCAAGUCAUCAUGGCCCUUAUGUCCUGGGCUACACACGUGCUACAAUGGCCGGUACAGAGCGACGCAAAACCGCGAGGUGGAGCAAAUCGCAGAAAACCGGUCUCAGUUCGGAUUGAAGUCUGAAACCCGACUUCAUGAAGGUGGAAUCGCUAGUAAUCGCGCAUCAGCAUGGCGCGGUGAAUAUGUUCCCGGGCCUUGUACACACCGCCCGUCACACCACCCGAGUUGGGGGUACCCGAAGUCGCUCGUCUAACCAGUAAUGGGGGACGGUGCCGAAGGUAUGCCUGGUAAGGGGGGUGAAGUCGUAACAAGGUA
rnacentral:rRNA from 1 species